ACAUGCACACAUGCACACAUGUGAUAAUGCUUUAUUUACAGCUAGCAAAGUCAGGGUAUUUCUCCAGAAUGGUCUGCAAUAUACCACUGUGGAUAAAAUACUUUGCCAUUUCUUGAAAGCCACUAGUAUUUCGAGCAGAAUAAUAUCUGCCCGAAAUGCAUCGCAUGCUGGUGGCUUUAUUUUGUGUUUAAUAUUUCAUUACAUGUAAACUAUAUUUUGUAUACUGCAGAAAAGAAAUUAUUGUAUUAUUGUUUCCACAAGGUAUAUUAUUUGUAGCAGUUAUAUGGUAUUUUAUAAAACAUGAAGUCUCCAGGUUAUAAUUGCUUCGUCACAUUCAUAAAUCAUUUUACAUAAUUUUGUACUAAUUAUGUUCUGUACUUAAUGGAAAUAAAGCUAUUUUAAUUUUAGAAAUAUAUUAACUUUAGGCUUGAAUUUGCUGGAAAUACUCAUCAUAACUAAGGUUUUAUUCUAAGUAAGUAAGUAAGUAAGUAAGUUUAUUCAGGUAUACACAAAUACAGUUACAUAGAUUAUCAUACAUAGCAGCAUAUGUGUAGAGAACCUAGGAUAACCCAAAAAAGUCAGACAGAGUGACUUAUUUCCAUUGGGGUCCUUUACUUAUUACUAAAUGUCAGCGAAUUUUUGUUGAAACUAUGUAUCAUAUGGAUAUUAUUUGUAUGGUUAUUAUUAUUAAUAUUAAUGAAAAAUAUUAAUGUGUGUGUGAGGGUUGGCAGCCGUGGUGUGACGUGUUGUGUGUGGACGGACGUGACGUCACAAGGUGCUGUACGUGGACACGGACACACUGUUGUUGCUGCUGCUGAUCAUUGUAUCUCUGCUGUUGCUCCAGUACACUCUGGGGCUCGUAAAUGGGAAAAAGAUGCCAGCUUAGGAUUAAGAUAUCAACAGAAACUCUCCUUUUUCUUUAGGCAUGUAAUUUUGUUUGAAGUGUAAGUAAGGCUAUCUAUUAAAUGUUUCAUUUACAGUA